rnacentral:misc_RNA from 1 species
GGAGACUUUAAUUUCAAAAGUUCUGCACAUUCCUUUCCUUCACUAAAAGGUUGCAGCCUGCACACAUUAAAUAUAUCAGACAACCUGAAAAGGAAUCACAAUCAGACGCCAGAAAUUUGUGCAAUUUAUCCAAAAUAAUUACUCUCAGUUGCAUAAGCUCAGGGGAAUUCCCAGAUCUCAGUGGUUUUUUAUUAGAUGAAAGGAUCUAAACGAAAAAUAGAGAGAAACAUUGCCAUAGACAUUCAACCUAGGUGCUUGUGGAAGAAGUUCAAAGAGGACCAGGAAACGUCCCAUUCUCCCUCUGUUCAUUCCACCUCUCAAUCUGCAACAAUUAACACAAAUAUCACAAAAUUAAUUACUAAGAUGGCAAAGAUUCUCUUUUUUUAAAUAAAUAAAUACAUCCACACUACUAGCAGUUCAUGACAGCUAAUUUAAGCUACCUCAUGCAUAAGCACCACAAAAAAAAAAAGGGGUUCGAAUUAAAAUCAUUCAAUAACAUUUCAAUAAUGAACACAACAACAUGGCAUCAAACAUGGGUAGGAUACAACUAAAUAGAAACUCCAAACUCACUGAAAGCCCAUAUUAUAAUCCCCUUUCACCACAACUACUAAAAGCCCAUCCAUGAUCCAUCAGUAUCUUAAAUUCAUCACAUCAUACUACCACAAGCUGCCUGCUUCAACAGCCAAUGUGAAUAAUGAAUUCAAAAUUUUCAACUCAAUGAAGAAUAAAUUUUGCUGCAGAACAAGGAAAAUAAUUGAAAAGGUCCAGCAACCAUAUUUUCGGAAUCAUAAAGUAAUAAUCCAUCAAACAGAUACUGAAAAUGCAUAAAAGUUACUGUGAUAAAUGACCAAGUCAACCUUAAUACCAACGCAAUUAAUGCUGGUUACAUUUAUCAUUUCCAGCAUUCCACUUGAUUAUGGGUUAUAUCUUAAAAAAGGUUUAGAGCAGUGAUGAUGUGAAGAUGGUAGUUGAAUUAGAAAGAUAUGAGUCGGAUCAUUUUGAGUUUAGGUCAUUUCUAACUAUUUUAUUUAUGACUCAAACUCUAAGUGGAUUUGGAGAGACUUUUUUGGGUGGGAGAAAUAUUAGAGGUAUAUUUCCUAUAGAGAGUAUAACUCCUAUUUUAGUAUUAUUCUUAAAUUGGAUGAGAUUCCUAAUUAGAUUAAGAUUGGAGUGACUAACACUAAAAAUAGGAGUAUUGUAGAAAAAUUAUUUGGCUUUGCCCAUGAAGAGUGGUU